rnacentral:rRNA from 1 species
UUUGAUCAUGGCUCAGAACGAACGCUGGCGGCGUGCCUAACACAUGCAAGUCGAACGGAGGCAAGGGGCUUGCUCCUUGCUUUAGUGGCGCACGGGUGAGUAACGCGUGGAUAAUCUGCCUGAUGAUCUGGGAUAACAUUUCGAAAGGGGUGCUAAUACCGGAUAAGCCCACGGAGUCUUAGGACUCUGCGGGAAAAGGGGGGGACCUUAGGGCCUUCCGUCAUCAGAUGAGUCCGCGUACCAUUAGCUAGUUGGUGGGGUAAAGGCCUACCAAGGCAACGAUGGUUAGCUGGUCUGAGAGGAUGAUCAGCCACACUGGAACUGAGACACGGUCCAGACUCCUACGGGAGGCAGCAGUGGGGAAUUUUGCGCAAUGGGGGAAACCCUGACGCAGCAACGCCGCGUGAGUGAUGAAGGCCUUCGGGUCGUAAAGCUCUGUCAGAGGGAAAGAAGUGUGGGAGGGUUAAUACCCCUUUCACUUGACGGUACCCUCAAAGGAAGCACCGGCCAACUCCGUGCCAGCAGCCGCGGUAAUACGGAGGGUGCGAGCGUUGUUCGGAAUUAUUGGGCGUAAAGCGCGUGUAGGCGGCUCCUUAAGUCUGAUGUGAAAGCCCUGGGCUCAACCCGGGAAGUGCAUUGGAAACUGGGGAACUUGAAUACGGGAGAGGGCAGUGGAAUUCCUGGUGUAGGAGUGAAAUCCGUAGAUAUCAGGAGGAACACCGGUGGCGAAGGCGGCUGCCUGGACCGAUAUUGACGCUGAGACGCGAAAGCGUGGGGAGCAAACAGGAUUAGAUACCCUGGUAGUCCACGCCGUAACGAUGAGUACUAGGUGUUGCGGGUAUUGACCCCUGCAGUGCCGCAGCUAACGCAUUAAGUACUCCGCCUGGGAAGUA